CAGAGUUUACAACUCCCAAACCCACAUGUGAACAUACCAAACGUUGCUUCGGCGGACCCGCCCCGGCGUCCGGACGGCCCCACAAGGCCGCCCGCGGCCCGGAAUCAGACGACCGCCGGAGACCAAACCAAAACUUUUUGUAUUCUCAGUUUCUUCUGAAUCCGCCGCAAGGCAAAACAAAUGAAUCAAAACUUUCAACAACGGAUCUCUUGGUUCUGGCAUCGAUGAAGAACGCAGCGAAAUGCGAUAAGUAAUGUGAAUUGCAGAAUUCAGUGAAUCAUCGAAUCUUUGAACGCACAUUGCGCCCGCCAGCAUUCUGGCGGGCAUGCCUGUUCGAGCGUCAUUUCAACCCUCGAGCUCCCUUUGGGGAGCCCGGCGUUGGGGCACGGCUGUACCGCCGGCCCCGAAAUGGAGUGGCGGCCCGUCCGCGGCGACCUCUGCGUAGUAACAACCACUCGCACCGGAACCCCGACGUGGCCACGCCGUAAAACACCCAACUUUCUGAAC
rnacentral:misc_RNA from 6 species